rnacentral:misc_RNA from 1 species
CGUCGCUCCGCGCACACCUCCCAUCCGGGGACGGGGGCGCGCGGGGCGGAUACUGGUCUCCCGUGCGCCCCGGCGCGCGGAUGGCUAAAAUGGGAUCCCUCGGCGACGCACGUCACGGCCAUUGGUGGUUGAUCAGUCAACUCGUGUGUGGCUCUGCUCCUCUGCAUCGCUCGAGAGGGCAUCCGGACGUACCCAACGGCGCCCCGGCGCCAGCAUCC